GUUAGCAUUUCUUUACAGAGGGAGUAUUAAUUAAGCUAUCAGUUUAUUAUUUUUCAGUUCGUGUUUUAUAAUUGUUUUCUUAGUAUAUUUGGUGCAUGAUCAAUUAUCAGAAUUGUUAAUUCACUCAGGUUUCAUCCUGCUGGGUUCAGGUCAGGUGCAUUGUUGAUGUUUAUUUUCUAAGACUUGUCAAUUUAAAUUUAGCCUUUUUUCAGUCUUCUGCAGGAAGGUGAUCACAUUUUUUCUUUGAGUUCUUCUCAAGUAGAAUAGCAAGGACACAAAUGCCCUUUUAAGGUAGCCUCCAACUUGAGGACCACCCCGACGGCAAGCAUGGCUGGACUAUGCCUUGGAGGAGGGAUUGUAAGCACUGCCGCAUACAAGUCAGUAGGAGAUGGUCGUAUCACUUUUCAACAAGGAUGGCCGAGAGGAAUUCCCGGAGGAGAACUACCAAGCAUUGAGAGAGCGGUGCUAAUCACCAUCAGGAACAGUGCACUGGACGAACUGAAUACGAUGGACGAUGGUUGUCUUCAACGAGGUCUAAUUAUGAGAUUGUCAGGAAUAAGGCUGUUUUAAGUUACCGCAGUUUGUUAUGUUGUCUGUUAUCCUUGUCGCGCCAGAAGAUUGACGAACUAUGCUUUGUUUCUUUUUUUAUUUGGUGGUAUUCACCGUCAAGAACUAUGUAUAUUGCCUUCUUGUGCUUUUUGUGUGUGGCACUUGAUUAUUAAGUGAUCAGUAAUCAUGUUUCUCUCUUU